AUUGAACGCUGCGGCAUGCUUUACACAUGCAAGUCGAACGGCAGCGCGGGCUUCGGCCUGCGGCGAGUGGCGAACGGGUGAGUAAUACAUCGGAACGUGCCCAGUAGUGGGGGAUAGCUCGGCGAAAGCCGGAUUAAUACCGCAUACGACCUGAGGGUGAAAGCGGGGGAUCUUCGGACCUCGCGCUAUUGGAGCGGCCGAUGGCAGAUUAGCUAGUUGGUGGGGUAAAGGCCUACCAAGGCGACGAUCUGUAGCUGGUCUGAGAGGACGACCAGCCACACUGGGACUGAGACACGGCCCAGACUCCUACGGGAGGCAGCAGUGGGGAAUUUUGGACAAUGGGCGAAAGCCUGAUCCAGCAAUGCCGCGUGUGUGAUGAAGGCCUUCGGGUUGUAAAGCACUUUUGGCGGGAACGAAAAGGACUGUGCCAAUACCACGGUUCGAUGACGGUACCCGCAGAAUAAGCACG
rnacentral:rRNA from 1 species